AGCGAACGCUGGCGGCAGGCUUAACACAUGCAAGUCGAGCGCCCGUAGCAAUACGGGAGCGGCAGACGGGUGAGUAACGCGUGGGAACGUACCCUUUGGUUCGGAACAACACAGGGAAACUUGUGCUAAUACCGGAUAAGUCCGUAAGGAGAAAGAUUUAUCGCCAAAGGAUCGGCCCGCGUCUGAUUAGCUAGUUGGUGAGGUAAUGGCUCACCAAGGCUACGAUCAGUAGCNGGUCUGAGAGGAUGAUCAGCCACACUGGGACUGAGACACGGCCCAGACUCCUACGGGAGGCAGCAGUGGGGAAUAUUGGACAAUGGGCGAAAGCCUGAUCCAGCCAUGCCGCGUGAGUGAUGAAGGCCUUAGGGUUGUAAAGCUCUUUCAGGCGGGGAAGAUAAUGACGGUACCCGCAGAAGAAGCCCCGGCUAACUUCGUGCCAGCAGCCGC
rnacentral:rRNA from 1 species